rnacentral:rRNA from 1 species
CUUCGGUUCUGGUGGCGACCGGCGCACGGGUGCGUAACGCGUAUGCAACCUACCUUAUACAAAGGGAUAGCCCAUGGAAACGUGGAUUAAUACCUUAUGGUACUGUAAAACUUCCUAGUUUAACAGUUAAAACUUCGGUGGUAUAAGAUGGGCAUGCGUAUGAUUAGGUAGUUGGUAGGGUAAAAGCCUACCAAGCCGACGAUCAUUAGGGGUUCUGAGAGGAUUAUCCCCCACACUGGUACUGAGACACGGACCAGACUCCUACGGGAGGCAGCAGUGAGGAAUAUUGGUCAAUGGACGAGAGUCUGAACCAGCCAUCCCGCGUGCAGGAUGACGGCCCUAUGGGUUGUAAACUGCUUUUCUACGCCAAGAAAUGUUACUACGUGUAGUAAUUUGACGGUAGCGUAGGAAUAAGGACCGGCUAACUCCGUGCCAGCAGCCGCGGUAAUACGGAGGGUCCAAGCGUUAUCCGGAUUUAUUGGGUUUAAAGGGUGCGCAGGUGGGGAUGUAAGUCAGUGGUGAAAUUUUGCGGCUUAACCGUAAAACUGCCAUUGAUACUGCAUCUCUUGAAUAUGGUUGAGGUAGGCGGAAUGUGUCGUGUAGCGGUGAAAUGCAUAGAUAUGACACAGAACACCAAUUGCGAAGGCAGCUUAAUAAGCCAUUAUUGACGCUGAGCAAAGAAAGAGUGGGGAGCGAACAGGAUUAGAUCCCCUGCUAGUCCACGCCGUAAACGAUGUUCACUCGCUGUCUGCGAUACACAGUAGGCGGCUAAGCGAAAGUGAUAAGUGAACCACCUGGGGAGUACGAUCGCAAGGUUGAAACUCAAAGGAAUUGACGGGGGCCCGCACAAGCGGAGGAGCAUGUGGUUUAAUUCGAUAAUACGCGAGGAACCUUACCUGGGCUUAAAUGUAGAUUGACAGACAAAGAGAUUUGAUUUUCUCUUCGGACAAUUUACAAGGUGCUGCAUGGUUGUCGUCAGCUCGUGCCGUGAGGUGUCGGGUUAAGUCCCAUAACGAGCGCAACCCCUACCGUUAGUUGCCAUCAGGUCAAGCUGGGGACUCUAGCGGAACUGCCUGCGCAAGCAGAGAGGAAGGUGGGGAUGACGUCAAAUCAGCACGGCCCUUAUGUCCAGGGCUACACACGUGCUACAAUGGUCGGUACAGAGGGCAGCUACCUAGCAAUAGGAUGCAAAUCUCAAAAGCCGAUCUCAGUUCGGAUCGGAGUCUGCAACUCGACUCCGUGAAGUUGGAUUCGCUAGUAAUCGUAUAUCAGCAAUGAUACGGUGAAUACGUUCCCGGGCCUUGUACCCACCGCCCGUCAAGCCAUGGGAGCUGGGGGUGCCUGAAGUCUG